UUCGUAAGCAAUGACGUCAAAUUGGGGAUAAGGACUCGCAUAAAAGUCGAGUCGGUAUACGCCGAGCGUGGCCCGCCAUUGAUGCCUGCCUCCACCGCCUUAGCUGGCACGACCAAUACUGUCCAAACACGUGGACGGAUCCUAGCGCCUCAACACUAGCACCGCUUUAAUCCGGCCCGUCCAUUUUCUCCAAGCGGGUCAAUAAAUACCAUGCCCCUCUCCUCCAUUUCUUCAUCCCUAGGGCUUCCUUUUGUUUCGUGUUCGGCGGUGGAUGCCCGUUCGUAUUUGCGUUGUUUCGAUCAUUCUUAAUGCUUGUCUAGCUUUUUCCGUUUGGUUUUCUUCCAUCUUGUGUGUGUGUUUUUUUAAAUUUAUUCUAGACUCGACUCUUUUUUUUUUCCGAGCUUAUUUUGAAUAAUUGAAUAACUCUUCAGUUUGUAGCGAUCUAACUUUUUAUAUGGCUUUUAUUUUUUGUCUGUUGCAUAUAUUUGUUUUCAAAUUAUUAGAAACAUUUCCUCCAAGUUGUUAAAAAUAUCGCUGCCUUAUGGUUUUUCUUUUCAUUUGAGGAGGUUGUUGGCUGGCUAUUUUGUUCCCCGAUCUGCUAUCCUAUAUUUCUGUGUUUAUUUGAUUUUUGUGUAAGUUUUGCUUAUUUUUUGAGAACGAUUUCGGUUAUCCUUGCUGUUCUGGCAACCAUUAUUCUUCGUUUUUACGCAUCUGUGACGGUUUCAGGUCAAGCGGUUUGUUUUUUUACUCCUUUAUUUGGUUCGGAUUUUAUCUGGUCUUAGAUCUUCUUCCACUGAUCUACGUCCGAAGGAUGGGGCUCCGAACGAAGGAAUCGAGGAUCGAGGUUUUCUUGUUUCAGAUCUACGGGAUUCCAUGGGAUCGCGGUUCAGUUUUGUGGAUCUCUGCGCCUAGGGUGUGAUCGUGGCGAUCUUCGUCCUUCGAUCGGAUGUAAACAAAUGAGGAGCAAAUGGAAGCCAGGGAACUCCAUGAAGGGGAAAGGUAAGGGGUGGGAUGUGGGGUAUAUCUCUAUUGGGUCUGUUUGUCGUUGUUAUUACCGACCUUUGCCAUGUUGGGUGCGCUCGCAUGGCAGGUCACCAGUCCCUAAUAAAAUUUUUUUUUUCUUGGUGUUGUCGGGGGGGAUCGCACGGGGUUGUUUUUUUUCCCCGGGUUCUCCCCUUCUGCUGUCUUCUUUCCCCUUCUUCCCUCUGUCUUCUAUCCUUUUUUAUUCCUUCUCUGCUUGGGCGCAAACUACGCCAUCAUAUUUUCCUAUCGUCCAUCCUCGACUUAUCAUUACGAAAGCAUUGACGGGAGCUCUCUGGUGGUCGUCGUCAACCUGCGAACGCUGAGGUACAAAUGAAUUAAUAUCUAAUAUAUCUUGAAUUCCAUUUUAUAAAGAAAAGAAGGAUAUUAUUGGAUAUAUUUUCUGAAUAAUUUAUUUCAGCCAAUUUUAUCGAUAAUCUGCAUGCGAAAAACUAUGGAUGUAAAUUAAAUUCACUUUGCCCCCCAAAAGCAAAUGGUAUCAUUUCAUUCAGUUGAUUUAUUUCCUCCAGUUUGUUCAGCACGUAUCCUUUAUAAAAAUAGGGAGCAAGCAAAGGUAUUCUUACAUCAUGCAAUUCUUUCCCUCGGUUACGUUUUGUUGUGGUUGCGGUCUAAUACCCGGAAAAAUUCCUCACUUAAUUAUGAAAGCAAAGCACAAUCAUAUCAUUGCUAUGCCGCGGAGAGUUCCAUUUUGAUAUAUUAUUACUUUCUAUUGGUUAUUAUGUGUUCUUGCUGAAUUUUGCUCCUCUCUCUUUUUUUGCUAUCGUACAUUCAAGAAUUUCUUUCUUAUUGUGUUAUUUGUUGUGUUCGAAAUAUUGUUGGCGGUGGCCUUCAAAAUUUUAGUUAAUUACUUUGUUGUAAAGUUUGUUAUUUUCUGUAGAGGGGAGGUUGUUUGUAAUGUUAGCCUCUUGGAGGCAGUUGUUGCUCCAUGUGAGCGUCUGUAUGGUAAUAUUAUGGUGUGGUCGCCGGAUUUCGCUGCAACAUCCAGACCGCCCAGGCUCAUGGUUGGUACGAGGAUUCUGGAUUUGAGGAACUUGUUUUGUUGCCGAAAGCCAGAUGAAGGCUCUGGAUGGAACGCAAGAUAUGUGAAAGGCAGGAACCUUAUCAGCUUUGCUCGGAGAACGUCUUUUGCAGAGAUACUACGACUUUGGUCGGCGAGCUUCAACAUAUCGACGGGAGCUCUCUACUACUAUAAAGAGGAAUUGAAAUCUGUUGAUGGAACACGGUUAUUCUGCGGAACUUCAAUUCUGUUCCAACUUGCAUGUUCUACAGUUAGCUCGACUCAUGAUCUACGUUCAAGUAUAAUUCAUCACGCUUGCGAUUCUUUGCAAAAUCUAUUUUUAGUCGUCCUUUACGUUGUUGGAACUUACAUGUGGCUACAACGCUUAGUUUCCUUUCUGAGGAUGUAUUAUCUCAGAUCAGCAAGGGAUCGACCUCGAAAUAUGGUAAUCAACUCUUGACAAGUUUCGACCUCUCAAUUCAUUUUUUGGCUUGUGCCAUUUUGAAGCUGAAUUAAGUUUGUAGUUUGGAAUAAUGUUUUUAAGUUUUUGAGUAUGGGAUACGUUAAAUUUCUCAUCUUAGACGGUAUGAUGCUGAGAUGAAUUCUUUA